ensembl:lncRNA novel transcript, antisense to RPTOR
AACCUGGUCUGCCGCCAGCUCUUCAGAUGCACAGAGGGCUACAAACAACCACAAUUAGCUUUCAGCACAACAGCCACCGUCUGCGUUAAUGCGAGAUGAACCGCAGUCUUUCACAGAGAGAGCUGCGUGGGAAUGCGCUUCAGAAACGUUGCUGGUACCAGAAGUCAGCAGUGUUUUCGGUGAUCAGCAGAGCAGAGGGCCUCCCUGCUCCCCACACAGUCUCUGUGACCGGGGCCGCCUGCAGCCUGGAUCCCUUCCGCAAGGAGCUCCCUCCGCUGUCUGCGGCAACAGACACCGCCCCCUCCAGGGCUGCUCCCUGCCCCUCCACCCCGGGUGCAGCUGGGAGAGCAAACAACAAGGAACCGCCACUCCCGCUCCUUGCGGAUCUGACUCUCCAGGUCGUGCUCUUCUGGGAUCUUCAACAACAGAAAACACCCAGUUAAGCCCAGCGAUGAAACAGGGUUGUCUCUUGGUAUCAAUGGGGUAUGGGUUCU